UACGUAGGUGGCAAGCGUUAUCCGGAAUUAUUGGGCGUAAAGAGCGCGCAGGUGGUUGAUUAAGUCUGAUGUGAAAGCCCACUGCUUAACCGUGGAGGGUCAUUGGAAACUGGUCGACUUGAGUGCAGAAGAGGGAAGUGGAAUUCCAUGUGUAGCGGUGAAAUGCGUAGAGAUAUGGAGGAACACCAGUGGCGAAGGCGGCUUCCUGGUCUGUAACUGACACUGAGGCGCGAAAGCGUGGGGAGCAAACAGGAUUAGA
rnacentral:rRNA from 1 species